GUACUCACGAGUGGUGCCACUUAUAUUGGGUCUAAAACGUCGUAGCCGGUCUGCCAAGUCCUUGGUGAAAUCAAUCCGCUUAACGGAUUGAAUUGCCUUGGAAACUGGCAGACUAGAGGCAGGUGGAAGUGGGGGGAAUUCCCGGGGUAGCGGUGAAAUGCGAAGAUCCCGGGAGGACCACCAGUAGCGAAGGCGCCCCACUAUGACUGACCUGACGGUGAGGGACGAAAGCCAGGGGAGCGACCCGGAUUAGAUACCCGGUUAGUCCUGGCCGUAAACGAUGCGGACUGGGUGUUCCGUUACCGCAAGGUAUCGGAGUGCCUAAGGGAAGCCGUUAAGUCCGCUGCCUGGGGAGUAAGAUCGCAAGGUCGAAACUUAAUGGAAUUGGCGGGGGCGCACUACAAGGGGUGGAUGCUGCGGUUUAAUUGAACUCAACGCCCGAUACCUCACCAGGGCCGACAGCAGGAUGAUGGUCAGCCUGAAGGGCUUACCUGACGCGCUGAGAGGUGCUGUAUGGUCAUCGUCAGCUCGUGCCAUGAGGUGUCCUGUUAAUUCAGGUAACGAGCGAGACCCGUGCCCCUAGUUGCUACCUUCCUUCACGGAGGAAGGGCACUCUAGGGGGACUGCUGGGGAAACCCAGAGGAAGGAGCGGGCGACGGUAGAUCUGUAUGGCCCAAAUGCCCUGGGCAACACGCGGCAUACAAUGGCCGGGACAAUGGGCUGCGAACCCGAAAGGGUGAGCUAAUCCCCUAAACCCGGUCUCAGUCCGGAUUGAGGGCUGCAACUCGCCCUCAUGAACGUAUGGAAUCCCCAGUAAUCGCGCGUCACUAUCGCGCGGUGAAUAAGUCCCUGCGCCUU
rnacentral:rRNA from 1 species